CGUCGUAGUCCGGAUUGGAGUCUGCAACUCGACUCCAUGAAGUCGGAAUCGCUAGUAAUCGUGGAUCAGAAUGCCACGGUGAAUACGUUCCCGGGCCUUGUACACACCGCCCGUCACACCAUGGGAGUGGGUUGCAAAAGAAGUAGGUAGCUUAACCUUCGGGAGGGCGCUUACCACUUUGUGAUUCAUGACUGGGGUGAAGUCGUAACAAGGUAACCGUAGGGGAACCUGCGGUUGGAUCAC
rnacentral:rRNA from 1 species